AUUGAUUAAAAUGAACAUUAUGUUAGGAGGCGUAUGUUAUAAAAGUAUAACCACACUUCUACGAUAAAAACACACAGGAAACUAUAAAUCUAUAAAAUGUUUCUUUCACAAACGAAUACAGUUAACCUAACAUAAUGUAACCUAACCUACAGGCAGGAGCAUGGCUCGGAGUCGAAAACAUUCAGGGCUUAGCCCAGACCUGUAGGGGGAUCAGUAUGGAGAGACAGAUGUCACAAAGUUCUUUGUAAAUGCACGUACCAUGAUCCACAAAUUUGCAACAAUUUAUAAAUGUGUUUUUCUAUCCACAAAGAACUCCUUAAUUGUGACUUACGUUAUCAUUUGAAUAAACGUAUUAUGAUUUGUACAAACUCAUGUCUAUUUGUGAAAAUACAUCAUACUUUGCUUGUACAUUUGUCUUGAAAUUUCAUUUGAAAAUCUGUAAUUCUGCGUGUAAAGUGUUGAAUCUGCAUUUGUGGAUCAUCCAACACACGCAUUCAUCCCAUCUUCCACUGACGUAAUUUUGAGACAUCCUUUAUGCUUUUUCACGAGCCACACAUCAAUAUGUCUUGAUCCACACAAAUGUGCCCCCUCCCCCUCCAAUCAAAGGCAAUAGAGCGACCACUAGAUGGCAGUCUUGUUUUAUUCAGGCCGGAGUGUAAGUAGUAGCCUAAACUACAAGAUUGUUGAGGAAAGGCAAUGUCAACAAACUUCCCACCACGCAGCUGAAAUGGAUCCUGACAGGUCAACAAAAAGGGGGGGUCAAAACCUAUUUGUGUGUGGAUCACGAUAAACUGAAAAGAAUGUCUCUAAAUGAUGUCAGCGGAAGCUGGGAUGAACGAAUGUGUUGGGUGAUCCACAAAUACAGAAGUGACAUUUCACGACAGGAUGGGGACAAACCGUUUAGUAGCUGUCGCUCUUCAACAGCUGAUGGAACGGGAGGAAGAAGACAAAGGACAGCCCACGACAAAGGAGAGCACACCGAUGACGCAUGCUGAUGUUGGCAGCGUAUUGCUAUCUGGCGAGUCUUGAGGUAAGUUUACUCCGCUGCUGCAGCCUACUGCCGAUCUCUACCUUCUUGAGGUAAAUAUACUGCUGUGUCUAGCUAGCAAGUCGUUUUUUACAUGUAAUAGUUAUCAUCCCGUCUAACAAGGUAUUGACAAUCACCACCAUAUGUGUCAGAUAUGUACGAAGUCUGACGUGUAUGAAAAUAACUCGGAUAUAGGCCAACAGGUAGACUGGAUAUUGACCAGUACAUAUCACCAGUAUGACAGCAAUAGCCUGUAUAGCUUGGGAGUUGGGCAUCUGCUAGAAGUCAGUUUGGGUAGGUGUAAAUUCAUAACAAUCAAAUAGUUAGGUCUUCUUUAAGAAUUAUAUUUAAUGGGAGAUACAAUUACAAAUAUUUACAUUGAGGCACAUUUACGGUAAUGUUCAUGAAUGUGCACUGUCCCUGUUAAAUGAAUGAAUAAAUAAAAUUUUUGAUAAACA
rnacentral:lncRNA from 1 species